rnacentral:lncRNA from 1 species
CAGAAAAGUUCAGCCUUUCCUUUAAAGGCUUUGGUGUUGGCAGCUCCUGCUCCAUCACCCUCUGCUGAGGCUACUUCAUCCAAGCCAGCUGAUGAAGGGACUACGCUUAAAGAGAAACCUUCAGUCCCGAAAUCCUCAUCACAACCAAUGGAUGAGCCACCUUCUUCCCAGCACGUUAACCCCUAAAACGUCGAACCAGAAGGUAAUACAUUUUUUGAUGUUUUACCUUUGCUUGUACUAUUGGUUUUUGAUUUGUUGCUUUUUGAGUUCUGCAGAUGCUCCCAUGGGUUUGCCCGUUGUGGCAAAGUCUUCUCGCCCAGACAAGGGGAAGUCUUCACUAGUGAUGGAGCCACAGGUGGUAGACUUGGCUGGGGAUAUGCCACCUCCCAAGAUUGCUAAUGAGGUAAUCCUUCCUUCACUUUUACUUCCACUUUGUUUAUUAUAGUGAAAACCUUCAAUGUUGGCAAUUUUCUUUGCAGGAUGCUGAUAAGAUUGUGCGUUCGAUCCAGGACUUGUUCACUUCCUGGGGGCAAGUCAAGACGUCUCGCCCUGCUUUAACUAGUCAUCCUUCUACUUUUUCAGAGGAAGAUAUGAAGCUCCUCAAGCAAUCGAUAUUUGAGUAUGUGUCCUUUAUGGAUAUGGACAUCGAUUAGGCUAGUGCUGCCAAACAUAAGGAUAAGCUUGAGCAUUUGAGUGCGAAGUUGGCGCAAGCACUGACGCUUCCAUCGCUCAAUCUUUCUGCUGAUUUUAAAGCGAUGUUGAAAGUUGUCCAUUCUGAGAUUCUCUCCUUGCUAGCCAAAAUGUUGAACUGAAGGCCAAAAGUAUUCAAUAUCUUCGCGCUGUAUCUGAAAGAGAGUCUUUGCUUCUGAAGAUCAACAAAGCUGAGGACGAAUUGAAAGAAAUCUCUUCCGAAGUUAUGAUUGAAGACUCUUUGAUGACCAGUUUGGCUGCACAGAUGAAGGUGCUUCAAGCAAGAAUGGACGACUGCAAGGUGAGAAUGUUUGCUAAAAAACAUAAUGCCUCCCAAGGAAUUGAGCGAACCAAGUCUUUGGUCGAGCAGUACAAGAAGUUGGAGGUUGAUAAUGAUUUUGUGGCUAAAUUGAAUGUCACUUCUUUUCAGCAGAGCAAGGAUUGGGGGAGACUUAGGGAAAGAAUUCGUUCAAUCUGGGGCGAAUUGUAAUUAAGACAUCUAAUGCCUUAAGUUUUCUUUUUGUAACUUCGUAUUAACUUUUCCCUUGUAACCUCGUACUGAACGAUUAAUUUGUCUUCUUGUGUAUUUAUUAACGUUGUCUUUAAUCGUCAACCCCCCAAACAUUUAACUGCUUUAUGCUAAGAUUUCA